rnacentral:rRNA from 1 species
CACGGGGGGAGCAAGCGUUGUUCGGAAUCACUGGGCGUAAAGGGCGUGUAGGCGGUCAAGUAAGUGGAAUGUGAAAGCCCCCGGCUCACCCGGGGAUCUGCAUCCCAAACUGCUUGGCUUGAGUUCGGGAGAGGGAAGCGGAAUUCCGGGUGUAGCGGUGAAAUGCGUAGAUAUCCGGAGGAACACCGGUGGCGAAGGCGGCUUCCUGGACCGACACUGACGCUGAGGCGCGAAAGCUAGGGGAGCAAACGGG